rnacentral:rRNA from 1 species
GACGAACGCUGGCGGCGUGCUUAACACAUGCAAGUCACGGGGGCCCGCAAGGGUAACCGGCGAACGGGUGCGUAACACGUGAGCGACCUGCCUUUCCGCGGGGGAUAGCCGGCCCAACGGCCGGGUAAUACCGCAUACGCUUCCCGGGUUUCAUGGCCUGGGAAGGAAACCUCCGGGGCGGAGAGAGGGGCUCGCGGCCUAUCAGCUAGUUGGCGGGGUAACGGCCCACCAAGGCGUCGACGGGUAGCUGGUCUGAGAGGAUGGCCAGCCACAUUGGGACUGAGAGACGGCCCAGACUCCUACGGGAGGCAGCAGUGGGGAAUAUUGCGCAAUGGCCUAACGGCUGACGCAGCGACGCCGCGUGUGGGAGGACGCCCCUC